rnacentral:rRNA from 1 species
UGGGUAACCUGCCUCAAAGAGGGGAAUAGCCUCCCGAAAGGGAGAUUAAUACCGCAUAAUAUGUUUUGAUCGCAUGAUCGAGACAUCAAAGGAUUUUCUUCGGAAACUCCACUUUGAGAUGGACCCGCGGCGCAUUAGCUAGUUGGUGAGGUAACGGCUCACCAAGGCAACGAUGCGUAGCCGACUGAGAGGGUGAUCCGGCCACAUUGGAACUGAGACACGGUCCAGACCUCCG